rnacentral:lncRNA from 1 species
UAAUUAAUAAGAAAAAGAAAAAGAAAAAGAAAAGAAAAGAUUUAGAGAAGGGGAAGUUGAGUCAAUUAAAGUUUCUAUGCUUAUGAUUGAUACACAGAUUAUAAGUCCUUGAUACAAGACUGAAUGUAUAAUUAAUGCUUGUCACAGUUGGGCAAGAAGUUAGGAAACAAGAAGAAGUCCCCCACUGGCUACUGUAGAUUUUGAAUGUGUAUCAGGACCGUGCCGGAUUGGCAGGUGAGCGGGAGUUAUGUACCUUGCACCAUGAGUAUUUUUAAUUCAUUUUCAUGAAUGUCGCCAAGUGUGAAUUGAUUCCACUUGAGCAUAUUGAUUCAUAUUGUAGUAGAUUUUUUUAUAAUCUUGUUUCUCCAUGCUUGAUUAUUUUGUACAUGCAUUUGAGGAAAUAUUGAGAGGAAUUACAAGGAGUAAAAGAGUAGUCAAAUUGGUUCCGAGUUGUGAAAUGAUUUUUUUUGUAAAUUGAUUUCAUUUCCUCUAUUUCAAAGACUUGUAGAGCCUUUCAGUGGUAUAUUGAGUUGCAUUGCACUCCCUUGACUCCUCGCUCCCAACCCUGAUGUUAGUUUAUGAUUGGAUUGUAGUCGAGUGAGUGGUAGUCUUGAUUAUACUCCUUUAUAGUUGAGUAUUGGGAAGGUGCAUUUUGUCAUUUAUGCAUGGCUUGGCAGUAUCUACAGGAUACCUAUAGUCGAUGGGGUUAGACAUCGGCCUAUGUGCACAUAGUUGUCCCCUGGGUGGACGCAACCCAGUCCCUUCCUAGGGAGGACACGGCCGUAGGCGUAGGAUUGGCCGGUCCUGCG